rnacentral:rRNA from 1 species
GAUGAACGCUGGCGGCGUGCCUAAUUCAUGCAAGUAGAACGCUGAAGGAGGAGCUUGCUCUUCUGGAUGAGUUGCGAACGGGUGAGUAACGCGUAGGUAACCUGCCUGGUAGCGGGGGAUAACUAUUGGAAACGAUAGCUAAUACCGCAUGACAACAGUUAUUGCAUGAUAACUGUUUAAAAGGGGCAACUGCUCCACUACCAGAUGGACCUGCGUUGUAUUAGCUAGUUGGUGAGGUAACGGCUCACCAAGGCGACGAUACAUAGCCGACCUGAGAGGGUGAUCGGCCACACUGGGACUGAGACACGGACCAGACUCCUACGGGAGGCAGCAGUAGGGAAACUUAGGCAAUGGACGGAAGUCUGACCGAGCAACGCCGCGUGAGUGAAGAAGGUUGUCGGAUCGUAAAGCUCUGUUGCAAGAGAAGAACGAGUGUGAGAGUGGAAAGUUCACACUGUGACGGUAUCUUACCAGAAAGGGACGGCUAACUACGUG